CAACAGGACACAUAAACUGUUAGUGCCUUGUCUGGAACAAGGAAAGUGGUCAAUAAAUGUAGUUUCUUUCAGAAGCAGAAGGAAAAGCUGUGUUUCAGGAAUGGUUUCAUGUCAGUAAAAACAAUUAUAGAUGACCUUCAUAGUUCCAGGCACAGUUAGAGAUACGGAGCUACACCUGUCCCAACUAUCAGAGUAGAAUCCAGCAAGGGUCUGAGCUGUGUGGCCCAAAUAGCCACCACCCAAAGCUCUGCAUGAUAAAGGCUGUGAGAAUUGCGAGCCCGACGUACCAGGGGAGUUCAGAGAAGGGAGCGAUUUCAAUUUUCUUUGAGUAUUGACUUGCUACUGCAUGGUAACUGUAGUAUCUUCUAAGAAUGACAGUCAGGGCUAAUGAAUCACUCCAUUUAGCUGUGGCAACAGCAAGGCAAAGAAAUAUCUUCAAGGGCCCAGACAUUAUUUUUCCAGCCUUGUUCCAGGGAUAUAACGUGCUUAGAAGUUAUGACAAAUUAGCUGCUGGUGGCAAAUCUACGUGGAACCUUCCUAAAAAAUGGAAGUUCCGUCCUGAGUUAAUGGGUUGUUAUUGGCAAGGGAAAUAAAAUUUGAUAAGGAGGGUGGGUCCUGGCAUGGAAGGACCUUCAAAAGCAGCAGAAGAUUUUACAUUUGACUCAGGAAGCCCAGGGAUGAGCAAAUGGGAGAGGCAUGGACCAGACCUCCAUUGAGUCACAGGCCAUUUCUGUAUUUCAGUGUCCCAACAGUCAGUUUACGCAUGAAGGCUGAGGGCACUGUCCCCAGACCAUUGUACAGGGUAAGGGAAAAGAAGUAAAGGAGACUUAAUUUUUUAAAAAAGAAACUAUAGAUGUGAGGAGAAUGCUAUUUUUUAACCAUGCUAAUUUUUUUUAUUGCCAAUCUUGUCUUCCUAGGAUGGAACAUCUCUUAAUUUCAUGCUGCCAUGUUUGUGCUUCCAGGUACCUGAGGUACAUUCAGAAAGGCCAGACUCUGGGUUCCUUCUGGCAUUGGGAGGAAGAAGGCAUCCCGGAAGUCAAGACUCUGAACACAUCUUCCUCAAGUACAUCCUACCUAAAGGAAACUCUUGCUUGGCACUGUUGGUUGUUCUGAAAGAAGAGAAAAUCCAGCAAACCACUGACCAUUUCAUUUUGCUGGCCAUAGUUGCAGCACUUUCAUACCUGCAGAACUCACUGGGGUUAUGCUAGAACAAGAGCUGAGCUACAGACUCCUGUUCCUAUUUUCGUUUUGUGUCCUACUGAGCCCUCCCUGUGUUACCAUCCCUGGGACCACCCACUGGACAGAUAUUGUACAACCCAAUAGGAAAUUCCCAACACCCAUCUUGGAGGUAAAGGGCCAUCAGUGCUGAUUGUAGGAAUGCCAUUUCUUCCCUGCCCUUUCAAUAAAGGGGCACUCCCAAAGACA
rnacentral:lncRNA from 1 species